GUGCUGGCCACGCAGGAGGCUUAACCUGGCCGGCGCGGGAAUGGGGUGCAGAGAGCAAAGAAAUGUGGCUUUGAUCUUAUGGAUGCCUUACUUUUACAUUAUUUGUACAGUUCUUGCAGUGAGCUUUCCGGACCACUGUCUUGUAUGUUUCCUAAGAAAAGCAAAAAGGGAAGAGAUUGAAGAGAAAGUAGAUUUUCAACUACAAACUUUCAUCCAUUUGCUUUCAGCUUAAGCAAAUGUGCGCAAAGUUGUCAUGGAUUUUUGCAGUCAAUAAAAACCAAGCAAGAAGACUGAAUCCCAAGUCAUCUGGGGCAGAUAAGAAAAGAAACAAUUUGCUGAAACUCCCUCUGCUUAUAACAAAACUGACUGAAAUCAGCCGGAAUCAAUAUGGCCAAAUGCAGUUUGCGCACAGCAAGCUUGCUGAUGUCACAGCCUGAAUUUCUACUGCAUGUUUCAUACCAACUCCCUCCAAAUUUGCACAUGGGACCCACCAGGAAGCAUGAAGAGAGAGCCAUGCAUGCCUGAAGACUUCCCAGAUGUUCCCUUUGCUUCCACCAAUCACCUGCUAACCCCAGGAUCCAACCCUAAACCUUUUGUAAUAAAAUUACUGCCCUAAAGCCAGUACAAGACAGAUUUGAACUGGACUUUUGUUUCCUCAGAAGUUAACUUGCAAUGUGAAGCUUUCCUUUUCUCAAAAACUUGGUGUCAUAGUGUUGGCUUCUAGUGCAGUGAGCCCCUUUUGCUGGAUAACCUUACCUGGUAAUUUGACAUACUAGGUGGUUAGUAACUACUGACUGUCUCCAGGUUACAACACAGUUAUUACCCACUUGGGUGAAAAGAGAAGACAGGAAAUACAUUUUGGAGUUGGCUGGCAACCUGUUUACAAAGCAAUUUACAACAGUUCCUUAUUCUUAAGGGGCUAUUCUAAUACAAGACCUCAGAGAAACAGUGCAGUGUGACAAAGGAGGAAUUUAUCAAAGGAGACAGAAAAAGCAUCAAGGCAAGCUGUGAAAUGGUGCGGUAGGAACCAAAUAGAGAGCCAAAGGAUCUUUCUGUCACUGCAGGCCCUUAGGGGUAAGCAAAUCCUUCCCUGAUCCCUGGUCUCCUUAUCUGUAAAUGAGAAUACCAGCACCCACCUCACUGUGCUGUAAACAUGAUGAGUUCUAACAAUAAUUUAUAAAUUGUAAAAUCACACAAAUCUAA
rnacentral:lncRNA from 1 species